rnacentral:lncRNA from 10 species
GUGAGCCAAGAUUGCGCCAGUGCACUUCUGCCUAGGUGACAGUGAGACUCCAACUCAAGAAAAAAAAAAAAGUAGAGCUUGUGAAGUGUUUAUGAUCAGUUUUAGUGUCACAUGUACAGAUCAGUAAUGUAAUCAUUAUAAUACUAUGUCUGGUCUACGGCUGGGCGCGGUGGCUCACGCUUGUAAUCCCAGCACUUUGGGAGGCUGAGGCAGGCAGAUUGCCUGAGGUCAGGAGUUCGAGAUCAGCCUGGCCAACAAAGUGAAACCCCGUCUCUACUAAAAAUACAAAAAUUAGCUGGGAGUGGUGGCACGCUCCUGUAAUCUCAGCUACUCGGGAGGCUGAGGCAGGAGAAUCGCUUGAACCUGGGUGGUGGAGGUUGUAGUAAGCCGAGAUCACUACAGCCUGGGCAACAGAGCGAGACUGCCUCAAAAAAAAAAAAAAGCAUUAAAUUUCAUUUUAUUUUCAUUUUUCCCUUUAUUUUUUCAUUUUUUAGUUGUGAAAGUAGUUCGUAUAUAUUUAGAAAAAUGUUUACUUUUAAUAAACUAUUCAUUUAAUAAAUGUAUUAACUGAGCACUAAAUAAUGCUCAAAGGAUCAUAGAUUUUUUUCCUCCACACUAAGCCCAUGGGACAUGAAGAAUAUCUGGGUGCUUCCAGGAUAUAAGGAAGGAAUGUGCCUUUUCCCACUCCUGGCCUUUGGGUACUGUCCUGAGCAUGGGAUGCUGGGGCAGGGGCUGCCUUGGCCAUCUUGCCAUCUGCAUGGCAGUGGCAGAGGAUAGCUGAGGGAAAGGACUAGAGAGCCCUGGAGCUGCCGCCUUGCUCUAAUGUAGGCUCCAGAUGGCCUUCCAAACAAUACAUGUGGCCCUUCACGCUCCAGGUGAUGACAAGUACCCGUUGCUGAUGGAAGUAGCAGAGUCAUACCUUUCUUGGAAUUUAGGUUCUACAGUCAAUGCUUAUGGCACCCAAUGAGUCAAAAACACCCUUGGCAACUCCUAAGGAAGGCUCUGCCCUGGAACCUGAUGUACUGUUUCCCCAUCACCAUCCAGGGAGAGUUUCCUCCUGGGCCGGAACAGAAAGCUGCCUCCUCCAUCAGGCACCAGAGGAAGUAGGGGGCUUCUGUUUAGGGACCACUUUGCAUAAAUACACAUUUAAACAUGUGCCUCACCCUCAGCACAGCAGGAUGCUCACGCCAUGAACAGCCAACAGGAACCAGAGUGACCGACCCUCCAGGAGGUACACACCUCCCUCCCAUCCCACCCACUUCUGAGCAUAUGGUUCUCACAUCCACCAGUGGGUGGAAUCACCCACACCAUUUAAACUUUUUGUCAAGGAUGUAGAGCUGAAUUCAUGUGAUUUCCCACAUGAGCAAUGUCCCUCCCUCCACUGCACAAUUAUAGCCAGCUCAAGCAGGUCCUCUCCUUCCUUCUACCUGCCCUGCAAAUGGCUCUCUCCUUCACUGACCCCCCGCCCUCCUUCUUAAAGGCUGAUGCUCCCUAGGACUCUAUCCUUGAUGCUUCUCAUUAAUUCUUCUCCCCGCUGGCUCUCAGCCCUACUUAGGGCUCCUGAUCAGUUAAAAAAGACCCAUGAGACCUCCCCUCCCCAGUUAACAGAGAUGUGGCCCAAGAGGCUCCCCACUUCUAAUUUGAGUGGGGGCAAAAGAAGAGAAAGAUCUUAUCUAGGUCUUGGGGGCAGGGCUUGCAGGGCACAAAGAAACAGAGUAAAUGUGCAACAGGCUAUUUUCUUGAAUGAAUGGAUUCAUAAUAAGAACAGGACUUCACCAGCUUCCAAGGGACCCUCCCCACCUCUCGGAUAUAUUCUGAAGCCUAAAUUUCACCUGCUUAUCUAGGAUCCUAGGCCAGGCCUUCUGCCACACCAAGCCACACCAACUCUGAGUCCAAGAGGGAAGGACUG